AUUCCAUCCUGGGCAACAGAGCAAGAGUCUGUCAAAAUAAAAAAGAAGAAAAAAAGAAGAAAGAUUUUAAUUAUUUUUAUCAACAAUUAUACAUUUUCAGUCUACUGUUAUGAAUUGCCACAACUUGGAGGCUUAGAACAACACAAAUUAGUACUCUCACAGUCCUGAAGGCUACAGCUCUGCAAUCAAGAUAUCAGCAAGGCCAUCAUUCCACUAAGGCUCUAAGGAAGAAUCCAUUUUUGCCUCUUCCUGCUUCUGGGAUGCAUCCACUUUAUUAGACGGCAAACUAGAAAAUGCUUCCUACAGUCGCCACAUAAAAAGAAUUAUCAUCAUGCCAAACAAAUUAUCAUCGGUGCCAAUGAUGUGAGAAUUGAGCAGAAAGAGCAAUGCAACAGGUUUUCUUUUCUGGCCAUGCCAAGGUGGAAGGUGAUCUUAAUUGAAGAAAGAAUGCUCAAAGUAGGCAAUGCUAUGUCUUAUCAACAAAUACUUACCAGCAUGUACAUUGCUGCUCAGAAACACAUUUGAUGAUGGAUCAGAAGUUUCCUCCUAUUUAAUGUGGUGAUAAAAAUAACUUCUAAGUAAUUCAGUUCAUAGAACCAUGAAGGACUGGGUUUGAGAUUAUGCUUUGAAUACCAUAAAGUGAUGAACACAGAGACUGAGAAAAAAAGAGGAGGAGAAGGAGUGGAAGGAUAAAUGGUGGGGCAGUAGGAGACACUGAAUUCACAUAUCAUUGAAAACCAAAAUAUUAGAAGAGCUUAAGUUUUAAAGAAUGCUGGCAAAUGUUUAAGCGAUCAGCACUGCUGGUUUACUAUAAACAUAAUGGACUACACGUUGAGUACCUUGACAUAUGAGUAAAUUCAUAUAGUACAAAUCAUUCAACACACAUAUCUUGAGAACAAGUGAGAAGACAGCCAUCUGCAAACCAGAGAGAAAGUCCUCAUAAGGAACUGAAUCAAACUUCACCUUGAUCUUGGGCUUCCCAGCCUUUGCAACUGUGAGAAAUAAAUGUGUCUUUAUGCCA
ensembl:lncRNA LINC02713 long intergenic non-protein coding RNA 2713